ACUAUUUUGGCAGACUAGUGCAUUGAAUUUAGAAUUCAAAUAUGUAAUUAUACAAAUAGUA
rnacentral:tRNA from 1 species